AACGAACGCUGGCGGCAGGCUUAACACAUGCAAGUCGAACGCCCCGCACGGGGAGUGGCGGACGGGUGAGUAACGCGUGGGAACAUACCCUUUUCUACGGAAUAGCACUGGGAAACUGGAAUUAAUAUCGUAUAUGCCCUACGGGGGAAAGAUUUAUCGGGGAAGGAUUGGCCCGCGUUGGAUUAGCUAGUUGGUGGGGUAAAGGCCUACCAAGGCGACGAUCCAUAGCUGGUCUGAGAGGAUGAUCAGCCACAUUGGGACUGAGACACGGCCCAAACUCCUACGGGAGGCAGCAGUGGGGAAUAUUGGGCAAUGGGCGCAAGCCUGAUCCAGCCAUGCCGCGUGAAUGAUGAAGGCCUUAGGGUUGUAAAGCUCUUUCACCGAUGAAGAUAAUGACGGUAGUCGGAGAAGAAGCCCCGGCUAACUUCGUG
rnacentral:rRNA from 1 species